GAAAUGACGUUUUCUAGUUAGAUCAAGUGUGUAUUUUGACAGCUUAAUGCAGUCGAUGAUCACUCGGAAGACGGAAUCACAGUGAACGCUGAAAAAGAAGCACGCAUAAUAUAUCCACGUUCAGCGUCUCGCGCGGCACUGCGUACGAGUCCACGGAGCCAAGCAGCGCUUUAUGGGAACCUAAAGCCAGGUAGCAAACAGCAGUGCCACGACAAACAGUGGAGUGCUGACCAUCCAGUCCGGAAUGUGGCUGAGGGAAGCAUGCCAUAAGAGGCGCUUAUUCAGCCAGAAGAAAUAAGCAUCUGCAGGCAACGUAAAGACGUACAGAAAGGAGCGAAGUGGGGCUGUGCAUGGGCCGUGCACAGUUGCAUAAGCGGCUUGCAACACCUUUGACAAUUAUGUUCCUGAAUACAUAUGUGAAAGUACAUUUCAAGAAGCAUGAAGUAGUGUGCUUCUUUGUUUAUUUGGCAUGAGACAGCAGGUAUGCUUCACUCAUCUGCAAGUUCACACAGUACAGUGCAUAUACACAUGACAUACUACGCCCACAUCUACCAGCUCGUGAUGUGUAGCUUGAUUGUAAAAUGUUUACUUUGACCUGACACAACGAUUAUUAACAAAAUGACAUGAAAGUAUUGCCACAUAUGCAGGCGACAUUUUCAGUAUACGCUGGCGACAAAAAUGUGGAGUUAGACCGGUCCACUAUUCGCACAUUUCCUUGUAAACAUUUGGUAGGAGGCCGGUGUUGUUGUUGCAAGCCAAUGCGCCGCAACGAAUGAACCAUGAU
rnacentral:lncRNA from 1 species